AGCUAGGGUUAACCCAUUUUUUCAUAAACAUAGCAGUUUCAGAGAAACUGCUAUGUUUAUGAAUGGGUUAAGCCUUCCCCCUAUUUCCUCUAGUGGCUGUCUCAUUGACAGCCGCUAGAGGCGCUUGCGUGCUUCUCACUGUGAUUUUCACAGUGAGAGCACGCCAGCGUCCAUAGGAAAGCAUUAUGAAUGCUUUCCUAUGUGACCGGCUGAAUGCGCGCGCAGCUCUUGCCGCCCGUGCGCAUUCAGCCGACGGGGAGGAG